UUCCAGUAUUACUUAAUAACAAAAUAUUACCAGUGUGGAUAUUUGAUAUUUUGAAAGAUUAUUUGAAGGAUUUAUUUAACUUGUGGAUUUUAAAAGCUAUCUUUGAAGAGAGGAAUUACAACUUUUGGAUAAACUAAAGUUUCUUUUGAACCGUUGUGAUAUAUUGUUGAAUUUAAUCAGAUUGGAUAUAAAUUGGACCUGGAAAGACUUUUUUUACAUAUAAAAUUGGAUCCUACUCCUCUUUGACAUUUUUGAAGGUAAACACAGGUUUUGUCCUGUCACAUGAAACACAUUCAACAGACAUUCCGCAAGAUCUUGGUCUUUCAAAGUCGCACAUACCGUCUAGAAGGCUCGCUAGAAAAGGCAAUCGGUUUAGAAGGAGUUGUUGACAAUGGAGGACGACAGGACGGACGCAUGGACGCACAGCAAACACAACGUGAUUACAAUAGCUCACCAUGAGCAAGCUAAAAUCUAGAAUAAAGUUACCUCUAGGGAAAGGAGAUUGUGUUGCCGGUCGAAAGCAGUUGUACCAUUCAUCAGUACCGUCCUGACAGUGUUUCUCACCAUCACAUACAUUACUUAUAUUGACACAUUCCGUUAUAACCUUACAUGUAAAUGUGUUAUUUGCACAGACUGAAAAAUGAAUACAAAUAAAAUUAUAUUUCUACAUAAAAAAUGGUCUUUCCUAAACUGUGCGAUGUACAAUAUUAAAUUGAUAGACACAUCUUAAAUUCAUUAUAAUUACAUUUGUGUCCAUGUAAACUUGGCAUUUGUCAUUUGUAAGAACCGAAAAAAGAAACAUAUGUCGGAAUUUUACAAUCCAACUUUCCUAAAAAUAUAUAUAAAAUAUCA